rnacentral:rRNA from 1 species
UAUCUCUGUAGAGUCUGCAUAUCAAUAAGCGGAGGAAAAGAAACUAACAUAGGAUUCCCUCAGUAACGGCGAGUGAAGCGGGAAGAGCUCAAAUUUGAAAUCUUCAAGGUUCUACCUUGACGAAUUGUAGUUUAAAGAAGUGUUUUCUGUUGAAGUUUUGGUAAAAGUUCUUUGGAAUAGGACAUCAUAGAGGGUGAUGAAUCCCGUAUUUGACCAUUAUUUUCCAGCUUUGUGAUACACUUUCAAAGAGUCGGAUUGUUUGGGAAUGCAGUCCAAAAUGGGUGGUAAAUUUCAUCUAAAGCUAAAUACUGGCGAGAGACCGAUAGCGAACAAGUACCGUGAGGGAAAGAUGAAAAGAACUUUGAAAAGAGAGUUAAACAGUACGUGAAAUUGUCAAAAGGGAAGCGUUUGACACCAGUGUUGUUUUCUCGAAAAUCAAUUAAAAAAGUCAGGAUUUUGUAUUGUAAUUGACCUUUAUCAGCUUACUGCUACUCUUUUCUUGUCUUUUUUAAUGCACUUUUCGUUUAACAAGUCAACAUCAAUUUCUUUUGUUGUAAAAGAGUCAUUGGAAGGUGGCUUUCACUUUCGGUGAAAGUGUUUAUAGCCUUUGGCCUCUGCAAUCGGAGAGAUUGAGGUCUGCAGCGUAGAUCCUUCGGGGUUAGAUACAUUUGUGCUAAGUUAUAACCUUUCAUAGACAACUUGUUGACUAUGAUCAGUCAUGUAGCUUACUCGCUUAUGCUAUUUUACCUACGCUUAGGAUGUUGAUCUGUAGUGCGUGCGC